rnacentral:rRNA from 1 species
AGCAGCCGCGGUAAUUCCAGCUCCAAUAGCGUAUAUUAAAGUUGUUGCAGUUAAAAGCUCGUAGUUGAAUUUCGGGAUCAGCAGGUUGGUCGUGCCUACGGUAUGAACUGGCCUUGCUGAUUCCUCCCUCUUGAUGAGCCGUAAUGCCAUUGAUUUGGUGUUGCGGGGAAUCAGGACUGUUACUUUGAAAAAUUAGAGUGUUAAAGCAGGCAAGCGCUUGAAUACAUUAGCAUGGAAUAAUGAAAUAGGACGUUUGAUCCUAUUUUGUUGGUUUCUAGGAUUGACGUAAUGAUUAAUAGGGAUAGUUGGGGGCAUUAGUAUUCAAUUGUCAGAGGUGAAAUUCUUGGAUUUAUUGAAGACUAACUACUGCGAAAGCAUUUGCCAGGAUGUUUUCAUUAAUCAAGAACGAAAGUUAGGGGAUCGAAGACGAUCAGAUACCGUCGUAGUCUUAACCAUAAACUAUGCCGACUAGGGAUC